UAGAGAGGAUGUAAAGAAAAAUUAAAAGUCUCCAGGGUUAAUUUAACUUUCCGUUUAGCAUAAUGAGUUUAGGAUUCUCUGAGACAUUUUACUUUAUGAGCAGAAGGUUCCUUUUGUGAUAGGCUUGCCGGGAAGGAGUAUCAUUUGAACAGAGUCCUGAAUGAACAGGGAGAUGGACAACAUAGAUAUCUGGAGAAAGGCUAUUUAAGCAAAGAGAAAAAGAGGCAAAGGCCUAGAGACUGGAGCAUGUUUGACCAUUCAAGUACCCAGCAGAUAUUCAGGACAUGAUAGUUCCUUUGCAGCAGUGAUAUUUCCAGCUGCCCAUUCUGCAACAAAGUUGUACCACCCCUUCAUCUCCUUCAGUCUGAACUCUGGACCAUACCACAAGCUAUCUCUUUCUUUGAAAUUCUCACACUACCAGCACUCUCACUCUCUUCUUCUCUUUUAGGUUAAGCUAAAUGCUUAAAGUGUCCUCUUUUUGAAAGUUAACAUAUACUGAGAGCCAGAUAUGUGUUGAGCAUUUUACUAAACAGUUUGAGUAUUUUAACUUAUUUGAUCCUCACAAAAAUCCUAGAUAGUUAUUAUUGUGUUCCAAAUGUGGAAACAGAUUAAAAAGUUGAAUAUGGUCAAGUUCACCCAGCUAAGUUGAAACUUCAACCGAAGACAUCUUGUAUUUAUGUCCAUCAGAUUAGCCACUAUCCUAUGCUACUUUCUUGUCAACUAAAGAUACUGCAGACCUAUUGAUGAACAAGUUUGGAAUAAUCUCUGUUAAGGAAAAAUCAAUUGUCCUAAAGGAGUGAUUUGCAAUUCCAGCCUUCUAGAACUCUGGAGUGCUCAUAGUCAUUCAUUCAUUCAACAUUUAUUAAGCACCAGUUAUGUGCAAGGACUGUGCAAGAUUCUGGGGAUAGAGCAUGCAGCUAAAAAAGGCCCCUGUCCCAAUGAGUCAAAGGUAUAUCAAAACUCUGUACUACUCCACCUCUGUGGUUGAAGAUCAAGGGCUCAAGUACUGAGAAAGGCCACCAAGAAACCCAAGCAGUGUGACUCUUAAUACAAAACAAGAAAUUAAUCUACUGCUAGCUUAAAAUCUUCAAACGUUUGCAUUAAACUGAGGGGAUUCUACAAUGUGGCAGUUCCAGUUUAAAAGUGGAGACAGCUCUGAACAAACCAUGACAGUUUGCAUGGAACGGAGGGGUUCCACAUGCUAAAACCAGAAAAGUCCUGAGAAAACUGGGACCCAGUUUCUGGCUUAGGAAUGAAGUAAUCAGUCUAUGAGACAGGGAAGGCAGCAACAGGAACAGAUUCAGAUUUUGUAAUUGAGUUAAACACCUACGAUAGAUUAAAACAGCCACAAAAGAAAUUCUUUGCAGCUCUUUCCAUGAAGAGGAGGAGUCAAUUUCCCCACCCCUUGAAUCUGAGCUGAUAGAGACUUGGUUUGACUGAAUGAAAGAAAAUGACUUUGUGUGAAUUCCAAGCCUAGGCCUUGAGAGACCUCCGAACAAGCAAAUAAAAAAUAAAAAAAAAGAAACCAUGUGGAGACACUUACAUUUGAAGGCGUUUGUUGCAUUGAAGUAGAUAACCUAUACAUCACCCAAACGCAAUGGCCCAUUGCCUUUUAUUUAGUUUGGCACAAAUCUAUAAUCGUCUUUCGAAAAACUUUUGUUUGGCAUCUCUAUAUAUCUCUUUCUAUUCAUCUAUCUGUCUGUGAAUCCCCCAAGUUUAUAGGCAAAGCAAGCUUGGUUUCCUAACAUUUUGGAAAAAAAUGUACACUUAGAAUUUGGCUAAUCCAGAAAUGCUAUUCUCCAGGUUAAGACAUUCAGGCAGUCUAUAAAAUCUUCCUAAAUGUAAGAUGAUUUUCAAAGUUCUUGCUAUUUUUUUUGCAUCAUUUACUGAGAGAAUUAAACUUAUGUUUUAUGUGUUUCCACUUCUGUUCUCCUGUGUGAGUUACCUGAAAGUUAACAGGGUACUUGUAAUCUAUGGGCCAUCUCCGUGGAUGUGGAGAUUUGGCUCUGCUUCACUUCGUCUUCUCUGACUUCCUGAUUUGAAGAUCUGUCACAGGCCCCUGCUGUGAGAUCUUCUUUAUUCUGUUUUCCUUUUAUCUUUGCCCAGAGACUUUCAAGAAUUCUUCUUUGUUCCUCCCAUUUCCAUAGUUACUUUGGUAUUUGAAUAUCUUCCUAUGUCUCAUCCUGCUAGAGUUUAUGGAUGCUUGGUUUGAAUUUAGGAUGAGAGCUGAGAUACUUAAUAAUUAGCACAGAAGCCAGCCUAGAAAUUCCCACAACUGGCUGUAUCAUACACCCCUCUGUACUCAUUAUUUUUACUAUGGUUUUGGUAAUAUUACGCUUCACAAAAACUAAACAAGCCACAGUUUCUUGACUAAAGGAAAUCAUAUUCAUCUUAUAUGACUCCCCCUUUUAAUUUACUUUUAAUCUAAUACUGUUAUUGUUCUUAUGUCAGUUUCCAGUUCUGAUUUUCUUUUCUCCCAUGAUAAUUAUUUGGUUUUCUAUACCUCAUUAUUUGAUUCCCCUUUCCCUAAAUCUAGCAUCUCUUUUUACUCUGAAAAAGGAUUGUGAUCAUUCUGAUAAACAGUAGGCAAAAAAUCCUAAACCCUUUGGAAUAAGAGUUAAAACAUAUUAUUUUAAGAGAUGUCUUCAGUCUGUACAAUUUCUCCAGGCACCAGCACACCAUAGAACCAGCUGCCUCUAUUCACAUUCACUACCUGCCACUCUAAAAGAAACAAUGAUGCCCUGGAAUGAAAGGAGGGAGGGGCUUCAUGAGAAAAUUGGGACACUAUUGAUGAAAAACAUCAAAAAGAAAUUCUUCUAAUUCACUUUAAAUGGAGUUUACAUUGGAAAAAAAUAAAGACAGUGGAGCAUUUGAUCCCAUGCAUCAAAAAGCACUUACUGAGCACCUUGGUAAUACAGGUUAUAUCUGCAUGCCUCAAUUUCUAGCAUGCUUACAUAAAUUACCUCAUAUGUGAGCUAAGUAGGCAGAUAAUCAAUGAGUUAUUGUCUGUGAAACACUUUAACUGAAUAUACAAUGUAAACAUUAAGAAAAAAUUUCUAUUUUACACAUAAGCAAAUGGGGUCUCAAAGAAGUGGAGAGACCUGCCUAAUCUGACAGGCCAGGUGUCCUGACUACCAUAAAGCUUUGCAUCACACUGCUUUCCUGUGAGUCUCCUCUGUGCAAAGCAGAGGGAUAUGUUGAAACCUCUGAUUUGAAAGGGUUUACAAAUCAGUUAUAGACAAAUGACAUACACAUAAAAGAAUAACAUGAUGAUAAUAGUGAAGAUGGUGAUGAUAGUUGACACUUUUAUGGUACUUACCCUGUGCUAGGCAUUGUUAUACAUGAAGUGACCCAUUUAAAUCUCUUAGCAAUCUUUCAAAAUAGGCAUCAUGAGAUAAUUAAGGCACAGAGAGAUUUAGUUACUUGCCUGAAGUUACCGGGAUAGUGUGUGGUAGGAUUGAAAUCAUUUGAAGUCAGCUGCCUGGCUCCAGGGACUAUGUUUGACUACUAUACUCUACUGCCUUUCUAUAAAACAGUAUAUGGAAUACAUUCUAUAUUCAUGAUCUAAUUAGUGUGUUAGAAUGUCAGGGAGAUUUAUAUUGGGAAAAAAAAAGACAAGCAUUUGUCUCACCAAAAAACUAGUAUAGAACAGAAAUUUGGGGAAAGAUUUAUUUAACCAGAAGAAGCUAAGGAAAUAUGAAAUGUAGAAAAGAAAAAGAAAAUCUCUGCUCAGUGUUUUCAGGAACUACUCAUGGAACCAGUGUGACUAAAAGAGAGGAUUUGUGUGGUGGCAUAAUGGAUAUUAAGACUGGUGUGUUAAGUGUGAAUGAAUUGUGACUUGUCUGCAAUGAAAAGCUAAGUCUAGACUCAGUAAUAAAUAAUGGGAAACCCCAAAGGCUCAAGUCCUCAAAAAUUUGUUUUCCUGUGAUAAACAUAUUAGGGAGAGGAAGGCAUAAAACUGAGGAGAGCAGUUAAGCAAUGAUUGCACUGGUCCCUGUGGCAUGAGGUCACAGGGGGCUUAGGCUAGAGUGACGUGGACAGGGAAGGGAAGGAUAGCGAGGAUAUAACCGACAUUACUCACUGAAGAUUAACAGGACCUGGCGACUGACAGGAUGAGGAAAACAAGGGAUUUCCAAGGUGACUCGAAGCUUCCAAGCUUUCAUGAAUAAGAAACUAACAAUGCCAUUUAUAGAAACCAGGAGGUCCAGAAGGGAGCUGAUAUGGAGACAUUCAGAUUUGAACAUACAAAAUUUAGGGUGACAAGAUAUCAUCUAAGUUGAAAGGCUGAGAGUUAACAAAUAUUUAUUGAACCCCUACAUUGUGUUAAGACAACGUACUAGAGCCUGGGGAUACUGCUGUGACAAGACAAGGCCCCUCCCCUCAUGAAGCUUGGAGUCAGGCAACUAGAGGAUUAUGUAGAUUAGAAGAAAGCCAAUCUGCUAGACUUGGUGGCUAGAACCAGAAUGAUGGUCUAUAUUCUCUCUCUCUC
rnacentral:lncRNA from 1 species